GGACUAUGUGCAUUAAUCAUCCAUACCUACUGGUAAACCUCCACAAUUCAUAAAUUGUGAAAUAUGGAUUAGGUAGAUUAUAACAGUUUAUAGUCAUAAUUCUGGUGCUGGUUAGACACCCCACCCCCCUCCUUUUCAAUUCUGUGAAGUCUUUUACCAACUAACUCCUCAGCUGGACUAUAUUUUAAUAAUGAACACUGC